ensembl:lncRNA
CAAGCCGGCUCCUCUCAAAGAGCCGGAACAGGAAAAACAUCAUCAGAAAGGAAGGACACAUCUUUAGACCUCAGAAACCUACCACGCAGUUGUAAACAUUUUCCAUCAAUGAAGAAGAAUAUCAUUUUUAUUGAAACGUAAAGUUUGGACGAUACCACAGGGGAGAGUAUCAUAGUGGGGCGAACAAUCUUAAUGGAUUAGGCAACAGUUCCACCAGAACCAUGUAAACGCCACACACUCAUCCCCCCGUGGGAGAUAGAUCCAGAAUCUCCUCAUUGUCGGCCAUCAUAAUCAGCCUACAAUUAGAAUAUUGUUUAUGAAUGUAUUUCUCCCUGUGUUGGGGGGCUUAAAUCUGAGUAUAAUGCUUGUAUGGAUGUCAUUCCCAAUACAUUGUAUUAUCAUCACCAUCAAUCGGCAUUCCAUUGAUCUCUUACCUAAUGUAUGGCAAAGCCAUUAUACUGUAUUUCCAUUCUGAUAUGCUGUCCAUUCUGAGAGUCUGUAUGCCGUGUGCGUGCGUGCGUGCGUGCGUGCGUGUGUGCGUGCACAUCUCUGUGGGUUGGUGGGUUGGUGGGAUUAUGAGAUUGAUUUGGAUUGAUUGGAUUGAUGAGAUUAAAUUGUUCCUUAUAAACCAGACACCAGUCAUCAUAUUCCUGAUCAAACACACCCAUCUUUAGUCAACUUCCUUAAUUCGUCCCCAAACCACAGAUACGUCACAGAUACACAGUUCUUUUUACCUAGGAUUAGUGAUUGCCACAUUAGCUUCAUGUUGCACUACAGGAUACUAUGGUAGUAAAACAAACACACAACCUGGAAGGACAGAGCUGUUGGGAUGAUAAUGUACAGUAGUGCUGGGUGUUGAAGGAAUAAGGAGGCGCUGUCUAUGCUCGGUUUGGCUUGAGGCCUCAUCUGAGAGAAGAUGUUGCCCAGAGAGCUAAGGAUCAAGCAAACCAAGACCAAGUCUUAUUUAACCAAAGGGUAGAUGAGGAGAACGGAUGAUGGAUGGAUUUCUUUUAGUAAUAUUCUUCUGCACUGAUGUCCUGCUCCAGUCGUUCCCCUCAAGGCAAGGAAGGAAUGUGAACAGCACACUAACGUCAUUCACACACACAAGGAUGCACACGCAAACACGAAAACACACGCACACACUUACGUACUCACUCACAAACACCGACAUGGAGCCGCGCCACAAACAGAUGUUGGUAGGAUUCCAGUGUUGACAGGUGAAACAAGGAGGUUGUCAACUGAGGAACAACAUCCUCUCUCAGAUUAGGCCUCAAGCCAAACAGAGCAUGGACAACACUUCCUUAUUCCUCCAAGGAACACAGUGGAUACAAUAACAGGUAAUGAGAGCUUGCAUCACAAAGUACUGAGUGUAACCAGACAAGUAUUUUGCCCUGGGUCUAUUUAUAGCAUCAUAAAAUCAAUCAGGUUGUUUGCUAGGGAUUUACAGUAUCUGUUGCAGGAUACAAAUACAAUCAUUUCCUGUUAUCUUCUGUCUGGACAUCAACUGACAUUUAGUUUGACCGUGGUUGUUUCUCACUGGAAUUAACACCUCUCUAUGGGCCUGGUCCCAUUGGUCUGGUCUGACAAGUACAGGAUGUUAAGUCUUUUGAGAGACGGUCAAGGACAUAUUCAAAUUAAGCUAAAUUAUAGAAAGUUCUGAUCAAAUCAAUUUCAAGUUUCAUGGUAGUAAUACAUGGAAAUAUUCCACUACCAGAGCUUUUACAUUAAAAACACCAAGAAGUUCAAAUAAACAUAUACAUAUAAUGUAUACCAGGGCUGUCCAACCCUGUUCCUGGAGAGCUACCUUCCUGUAGGUUUUCACUCCAACCCUGUUCCUGGAGAGCUACCUUCCUGUAGGUUUUCACUCCAACCCUGUUCCUGGAGAGCUACCUUCCUGUAGGUUUUCACUCCAACCCUGUUCCUGGAGAGCUACCUUCCUGUAGGUUUUCACUCCAACCCUGUUCCUGGAGAGCUACCUUCCUGUAGGUUUUCACUCCAACCCUGUUCCUGGAGAGCUACCUUCCUGUAGGUUUUCACUCCAACCCUGUUCCUGGAGAGCUACCUUCCUGUAG